CUUGCCUAAAUAUAAGAGGUCCAGCCUGCCCAGUGACACAUGUUCAACGGCCGCGGUAUCCUAACCGUGCGAAGGUAGCGUAAUCACUUGUUCUUUAAAUGGGGACUAGUAUGAAUGGCAUCACGAGGGUUAAACUGUCUCCUUUUUCUAAUCAGUGAAACUAAUCUCCCCGUGAAGAAGCGGGGAUUAUUCUAUAAGACGAGAAGACCCUAUGGAGCUUAAAACAAACUUACACUUGCUUUUAUAUAUUAAACUUCCUGAACAUUCACAUAAACUAUAGCACAACUGAUAAUUAGUUUUCGAUUGGGGUGAUCAUGGAGAAAAAAACAACCUCCACGACGAUAAGGGAGCCCCCCCUGAGCCAAGAGCCACAACUUUAAGCACUAAAAAAUUAACGCACCUUGACCCAAUUACUUGAUCAACGAAC
rnacentral:rRNA from 1 species